GGUACUGAGGGGCUCCAAUGGCCACUGGCCUUAGAGGGGAGAGGUCGGCGACGGCAAAAGCCCAUUGAAGGUGGCGGGUUGCCGGAGGCAGAGGCGAGACGGCGCGGGAGCACCACCAUCUGGGUGGAGCUGGAAAUCCGAUGGCCAGCAUAGGAGGUGAGGAUCGGAGGUGGUCAGAUUAGGAAGGAUGGACUAAGGAUGGGGGCGUCCAACAGGUGGAUAGCGCGGCAACCGCCGCUCGGGGUGGCGGAGGCAGGGCGAGGGUAGAGGUGUGCUGGGGAAGGGGUCGGUGAGGUGGGCCUUGAUGCGUCUCUAAACCAUAGCUCCUGCAUGAGUUCCACGAGCUAGAUAGGAGCUCCCGAGACAAAAGGCAGAGAAGUUGAAGGUUGCGACAAAAUGAUGAGAAACCACCGGUUUUGUUUUUCUUAGAGGGAGAAGGGAGCCCGUCUAGAAAUUCUUGGAGAAUUGUUUUUUAGAUGCUUAUAAGUAAACACAUUGAAACAAUAAAGAUCAAGUUUUGCAAUGUGUUGGUAAUCUCGGAUCUCCUUUAGUUUUUCUAAUUCUUGCAUGCUCAGUUUUGAUUUUUAGAUCGACUAAUUAUUCGACGUGUUUGUUAGACUUGUUUUGAUCCAUUAAAAACUAUAUACUAGGGUACGAGAAGUUUGAUUGGUGAGCCAUUUUUGUUAAUAGUUGGCAGCAUCGUCUGAUGCACUCUCUGGUCUGGAACUCUAGACUUUUUUUUUUGACCCUGGUAGUUCCUACCUAUUUUUUUAUAAUCUUUUUAUUCCAACCCCUUUAAUUCGCUCCAAGGGGAAGUCGAGUCCAAAUCUACUGGAUGCUACUCUAGACUUUGGAUUGACGUGAUUCUAGUUGAGCUAGUUUCAUAAUUUCAUAACAUAUUUUAAACAUACGUUUUAGUGAAUGAUCCAAAUCUGUAUUUAGGGUACAAUAGUGUAAUAUCCCUAAAUUCAAAAGCAUUUAAAAAUGAGGACCUUUUAAGAUUUUUCCAAACAAACUUAAAAAUUAAUCUUCUUUCCCCAUCAUAUUCAAAAUAUUUAAAAUACAUUCAUAACUGUGCAUAAACAGCACAUGAUUGUGCAUUUGAGUUCUCUAGAAUUAGAAAGAUCCAAAGCUCUUAAACAUUCCUCAAAUUUGAACUAAACCUAAACCUCAUUCCAAACGAAUAAUAAAGCCUACUAUUUACCAACGGGCCACCACCUCACCUUCUUCCCCUUUGGCCCAGCCAGCUCGGCCCAUUCAGCCUGCUCUCCCUCGCCAACGACGCCACCGGAUCCACCUCCCCCGGCCGUGUCCCUACCCUGCACUGUUACCGCCUCACAGCUGCACCUACUCUCACACUAAUUCCCUCGUCAGUACACCCCCUCCCCCUCUCACAACCUCGGCCAGCCACCCUUGCACGCGCAACACCGCAGCCAUGCCGCGGCGACCACCGAGCCAAUCUGCUGGCCUCGGCUUUCUCCCACAACACUGAGGAGAACGCCCCAAGUCCCAUGCCACCCUCCACCACCAUGGCCACUCCUCUAACCCCGAGAGCUCCUCCCUCGCCCCUUUGCCACAUGCGCUAGAGUGCAUGCCCGUGCUCAGUGCCUCUGCUACCAUGACCCGCCACCAAAGCUCGUCUCCUCGCCCCGUCCUUAUCAACGAGCUUGAGGUCAUCUGGGAGCUCGAGCUCACCCGUCAGAGCCUCCCCUGGUGAUAAACAGCCCCCUCCCGGCACCUCCUCAUCGUGCACCACCACCUCUUCCC
rnacentral:lncRNA from 1 species